GACAGAGGAUGCAAGCGUUAUCCGGAAUGAUUGGGCGUAAAGCGUCUGUAGGUGGCUUUUUAAGUCCGCCGUCAAAUCCCAGGGCUCAACCCUGGACAGGCGGUGGAAACUACCAAGCUGGAGUACAGUAGGGGCAGGAGGGAAUUUCCGGUGGAGCGGUGAAAUGCGGUAGAUAUCGGAAGGAACCCCGGUGGCGAAAGCGGCGCGCUGGAUCCCUACUGACGCUGAGGCACGAAAGCCAGGGGAGCAAACGGG
rnacentral:rRNA from 1 species